rnacentral:rRNA from 1 species
AGUGGCGGACGGGUGAGUAACGCCGUGGGUAACCUGCCUCACACUGGGGGAUAGCAGUUGGAAACGACUGAUAAUACCGCAUAAGCGCACAGUACCGCAUGGUACAGUGUGAAAAACUCCGGUGGUGUGAGAUGGACCCGCGUCUGAUUAGCUAGUUGGUGAGGUAACGGCCCACCAAGGCGACGACCAGUAGCCGGCCUGAGAGGGUGUACGGCCACAUUGGGACUGAGACACGGCCCAAACUCCUACGGGAGGCAGCAGUGGGGAAUAUUGGACAAUGGGGAAACCCUGAUCCAGCGACCGCCGCGUGAGCGAUGAAGUAUUCCGGUAUGUAAAGCUCUAUCAGCAGGGAAGAUAAUGACGGUACCUGACUAAGAAGCACCGGCUAAAUACGUGCCAGCCGCUGC